rnacentral:lncRNA from 1 species
CAAAAAUAAAUUUCCUUUUAGAAAGGAGAACACAAAGAAUUACUAUUUACAAAUGAUAAUAUCCAUUAAAGAGCUCAGAGAAAUAAACUGGGGAAAAAAAAAGAAGUAAGAAAACAGAAAAUACAAUGGCCAAACUUAAGAGAGACAGCAAGAGAGGGAACACAAGCAGGGGGAGUGGGAGAGGGAGAAGCAGCCUUCCCCACCCCCUAGUACGGAGCCAGGCACAAUCCAGGACCCUGGAGCAUGACCUGAGUUGAAGGCAAACACUUCACGACUGAGGCACCCCGGCGUCGCUACCCACCCCACUUUUUAAAAGCAAGUUGCAUGGGGAGUUAGAGAGAAGGGAGUUGACGGAAAUUGGAAGGGGAGGUGAACCAUGAGAGACUAUGGACUCUGAAAAACAAUCUGAGGGUUUUGAAGGGGGGGUGUGGUUGGGGGAACCAAGUGGUGGG